CGAGAGGGGAGAAAGCGAAACCACCACUGGGGUCAUUGGCACCGGUCCCCGGACAGGGGCUGGGACCACCUGUUGGGAGAGGAAGGCAAGGAAGCCGUAUAGGAGCCCCUCGGGGUAGAGGGCGGUUUGCUAAGGGGCGGGAGGGAGGUUCGGAUCGCGCACCGGGAGCCAUUCUACGGCGGUGGCGAGCCUUCCCUCAUCCCUCCACCUGUCGGGCCGCGGCUUCAGGAAGCCAGGCAACUCCAGCUCCACCCCCGCCCCCGGCCCGUCACCGCGCUCGGGCAAAAGUCCACCGUCUCAGCCGCUCCUACCGCUUCCGCCAGCGCCCGACCUGCCAAGGCCGGGCAGGAGGGGCGAGGAAGAGAAACUUUACUCCAGUCCCCCCUUUCACACGCCGCUGGCACCCGGGGCCCUAACUAACCCAGAGAGGACCCUCACUCCCCGCGCCUCCUUCCCCCGGGGAAGCAGCGAGGAUGGGGUAGCGGGGUCCGGGCAGUGGAACAGCUCAAGAAGCGUGCCAGUUUAGAGGUAUUUCCAGAAUGAGUGCUGUGGAACUUUCAGAUUUAUAUGUUGACGCUCUAACCCCAAAUGUGACCGGAUUGGAGGCAGGGCCUUUGGGAUACAGGUUGAGAUGAGGUCCUGAGGGUGCAGUCCCCGUGACGGGAUUAGUGCCCUAUAAGCAGAGGAAGAGAUGCCAGAGUUUCCUUUCUCUGCCCUGUGAGGACACAAUGAGGAGGUGCCAUCUACAAGCCCGGAAGAAGGGCCUCACCAGAACCCGACCAUGCUGGCACCCCGGUCCUGGACUGGUAGCUUCCAGAACUGUGAGAUGAGAAAGCAGAGAAAUAGUCAAUGGCCACACAGCUGGUGAUUUGCAGAGCCGAAACUCAGAUACGAGAUCAUGCCUGGUAGUGGGCACCUUCCCUGCCCAGACUGUAAUUAGGAUUCCGAGCUGGACUGCCUGGCACAUGGAGCACCUACUUUCUACCAUCUAUCCUUCUCAAUUGCUAUGCAAAGGGACUAAAAUCCAAUCUUUGCCCCGUGGAAGCUCACAGCCCAUCGCACCAACUAGCAUCUACUGAGCAACUAAGUACAUGGUCAGUAAGCAUUUUUGAAGUAAUGGAUUAAUGAGUGUCUAGAAUUAGGCCUUUGUCUUAAGAGUCCUAAGAUCAGUUGAGGAUGCAGACAAGGGAUAUUUAAAGACUGAGCCAAAAGUGUAAGUAUCUAAACUGUGUUCACCAAGCUCUUGCAAAUUGGAGGGGCUAUAACUGCUCUGUACAUAGCUAUUCUAGGAGAGGGAAAAGUAUUUUUGCUCUACCUAUUUGAAAUUCAUUGGCUGGGGGCCUCAAAUUAAACUGACAACAGACAGAUUAACAUGAGAAAAGCAAAUGGAAGUUGAUUAACAUGUGCAUUGCAUAUAGACCCAGGAACACUCUGAUGAGUAGAUCCAAGGAGUGGUUAAAACUUGGGCUUAUCUGGCAUCUUGGGUUUACUAAUACAUGACAUUUUAGUGAAGUACAAUACUUUUGUAGAGAAGUGACAAGACAAAAGAAAAGGACUUUGAGCUUCUAGUGGUGGCAAAUUAUGAGAAGGCACGUAUGAGGGGAAAGGAAGGGCAGAUAAGGGCUAGUUAGUAAGGUUUGCUGAGGACCAUCUUGCCUCUAAUGAUAAGGUUGUUUUCCCCUUCCUAGUUUAGGAAGUGGAGAAGGGAGAAUCAUAACAAAGGGAGUUCAUGUUCUGUUUUCAGGUAGAUAGGGGAGGGUGGAGAGCUUUCUUAUCUCUGCUUCUUAAUUGCCUUCAACUCAAAAUAAUCCUUGUGCCAAAGGGCAUAUUUUGGGUUAGCAGAUUAUGCUACUCUUUGCUAUAAACCAGCAAAAAGUGCGGUGUUGUCUCUGAGAUAGAAGGAUUUACUCUGUGCUAGGUACUGUGCUAGCUACUUGUAAUUAUUACCUGGUUGACCUCCUCAUAACCUCUCAGGCAGGUUCUAUUAUUAUUCCAAUACCCAUUUUCAUACCCAGGAAGAGUGAAAUGUCAAGAGUGACUUGUCCCCAACAGGCAAGUCAACAAGCGAUUAUGGACUUGAGCAGAUCUGAAUCUAAACUCCACUGGACAUGGCACCUUGGCUCCACUAUUUGUCACAUUGAUGUCACAAACAACAGGAAGGAGCUUCUUGGUAGGCAAAACAGCAGCUAUAAUUGUUUCUUUUUCCUCUUCCUCCUCUAAGGGGACGCACUUUACCUAGAGCAGCUAGCCCAAAGCUUUCAGGCAGGUUUCUUAGAAUUUAGCACACCCACACUGAUUCCAGAAACAGAUAGGUAUGAAGAGAGGCCCACUGGGAAAAGGAACCUGAACUCUCUCUGCAAGGAUAGCUAGUCCAGGGAGAGAGAAAGCAAACAGCCUGGGACCAGACUAAUUUGAGGAAUGAAGGCAUACCAUGGGAGGGGCUGAGUCAUUGGAUCUUCGGGGACAUGCCAACUAAGAUAAAUACAUUGGAUUUCAGUGUGUUGGACAGAAUCACUACAGCCCUGCAGGCUCUUAAACACAACGCCAACCUGCGCACGGAAGACAUCUGCCCUUUUGGCAAGGUCAAAAAGAUUUCCAUUCCCACCAGGCAAAUUUCCCUCAGAGUACAAAUUCCAGCCCAAAUUGUCAGAGACCAGAUAAACUUUUACUAACACUGUCCUGGCCCUUCCCCUUCCAUUGUCCACAGCCCCAGGGGCUCCUGCCUCCUGAGUCAUUAUCUAAAUGGCUGAUGGGCAGAAACUAACAGCCAUGCACUGGGAAUGCAAGGUCGCCAUUAACUGGGUUUCUGUGUAACUGAAGGUGGGGUAAAACCGGCCUUGUUUCAUCCCUUGCUAUUGAAAAUCUCUCUAAACUGUUAGUUCACUCACCUGCCUAAGUUUCUGGAGCAGAAUGAAAAUAAUUACAUUUUUGCUGGAUGAUCAGACAUCUUGCAGUGCCUUGGGGCACUGUUCUGCUUAGCGGCUUAAAUUAAAAUUUCACUGUGGUUGUAGACUUUUGUAAGAAAUUGGGCUCCAACUGUUCUAAGUUGAAGAAGAAAAUAAUUUAAUUUGCUUUUGUUGAGAGAUGCACAGUAUUUUGCCUUCCCGGUGCCUAGCAGAGUGUCAGGAAUACUUCCUUGAAAAUUUUCUCUCCAAUGCUGACAGACAGAGUCUAUGAAUGCCUGACAUGGAUUUAGUUUUUACAGCUAUUUUUCCUAAUAAUAAUUGUAUCUGCUCUUUAUUGAUCAAUCAGUGAUUGUUCCAGGCUUUGUGCUAAGCCCUUUGCAUGAUUUACAUCAAUCAUUUCAUCCCUUUUUGCCACGCAGUGGGUGGUCUUCAUUCUAAAGAGGAAACUGAGCCCUGACUGGUGUGCUAAGUGGUUAGCGCAUCAGCUCCCUGCACCAAAGGGUGUCAGGUUCAACUCCCCAUCAAGGGCACAUACCUGGUUUGCAGGUUAGAUCCCUGGCCCUGGUCAGGGGCAUAGCAUGUG